rnacentral:misc_RNA from 1 species
AAGCCAAGACAAGCAAUCGAAGAGAAACCCGAGAAAAAAAAAACAAGCUUACGCGAACAAAGGAAAAAAGUUAAGCAGCUUAAAGGGAAACGCCGAAUAUAUAUAUAUAUAAACUUUUAUCUUCUAUUCCUUUCGUCUGUUGGGUUGAUUCCCUCCCUCUCGUGUGCGUGUCUGCAUCGGCGCCGUUGUUGGGUUUCUCGUUGGCUCGUUCGUCUGUUUCUUCGGUAAUUCAGCCUUUGUCGUGUCGUGUUCUUCUUUGCUUGAGUUUUUUUUUUGGAGUUGUCGUUUUCCGCUUUCGCCUUCUCCCCCACUCUCCGGUGCGGACUUUUAAGCCAAAAAAAAAAGCAACGUCUCUCACAAAGCCGCACGUCGAUCUGUGGACAGCAGCGGCCACAACGAAAGGAAGGAAAACCGGAAAGCGGCAAAGAGAGAGCGCUCGGAAUAUCGAAGCAAGCGAACGCACGGCGGCAGAGCGAAGAGAAGCAGGAGAGUCACACUUCACCAUCGCCUCUCCAAAAACGUUCUUUUUUUUCGGGGGGUGUCUCCAUCUUCGACUUCUGACUGCUGCUGUGGCGUUCUGUUUCGUUCUGUUUUUCGCCUUGCGCCUUGGUCAGCUCCACCGCAUCUACUUAGCCUUAGCUCUACUCUUGUUUUGUGUAGCACGCUCUCCGCAUACGCUAUUCUUUUUUUGGUUUUUGUAUGUGUUGUUGUGUGUCUGUAUCGGUGCAACAACCCUUUGUUCCUGUUUUACUCCUCUGCGUCUUUCCGCAUCACACUAACUCCUUUCUCUCCUCGUCUCGCUCACUUCCCGAGCAACACCAG